AUUGAACGCUGGCGGCAUGCCUUACACAUGCAAGUCGAACGGUAACAGGUCUUCGGAUGCUGACGAGUGGCGAACGGGUGAGUAAUACAUCGGAACGUGCCCGAUCGUGGGGGAUAACGAAGCGAAAGCUUUGCUAAUACCGCAUAAGAUCUACGGAUGAAAGCAGGGGACCGCAAGGCCUUGCGCGAACGGAGCGGCCGAUGGCAGAUUAGGUAGUUGGUGGGAUAAAAGCUUACCAAGCCGACGAUCUGUAGCUGGUCUGAGAGGACGACCAGCCACACUGGGACUGGGACACGGCCGAGACUCCUACGGGAGGCAGCAGUGGGGAAUUUUGGACAAUGGGCGAAAGCCUGAUCCAGCCAUGCCGCGUGCAGGAUGAAGGCCUUCGGGUUGUAAACUGCUUUUGUACGGAACGAAAAGACUCUUUCUAAUAAAGAGGGUCCAUGACGGUACCGUAAGAAUAAGCACCGGCUAACUACGUGCCAGCAGCCGCGGUAA
rnacentral:rRNA from 1 species